GGGAGGAGCCGGGGCACUGCAGUGCCCCCUUCUCGCUCUUUCCUGCUUUAAACAUUAGAAGCCAAUUGCCAAAAGUCUUUUUCAGAACUCCGAUCUUUUUUAAAGGGAUCUGACCUCGUCCCUGCGGAUCUGAUGGGAGAAGAUUGGACAACAUGUAUGAGUAACCAUGGACAAAGGGGAACUGAGGUCUCCCCAGCCAGACAGGUGAUCUCUACAUGAAAGACUGCAUAAACACUGAUUUGACGUCAAUUCCAGAAAGACAUUCAAGACUGGGACAGAACAUUUUAACCUCCCUGGACAUUCCAUCUCAGACUGCAAAACAGUAGGUUUACGAAGUGAAGUUUGCAGACUCAUCUACAAAAGGUGUUUUGUAAAUUCCCUUUGAAGAUUAGAACUGAGAGAUUGGCGAAAGAGUGGAUGUCUUUUGAGAAGUGCGCACCCACAGCACAGAAUAUCUUGAAUCUUUCUAAUGCAGACAUGGAAUGUGAAGAACACAGCAUGUUCCCGGAAAGCUUUUACAUCUUGAGGGCAGUGUGUAGAUGUAUUACCAAGACAUAUUUUGGAAGCCUUAUUUUAUCUGGAAAGGUUCUCACACAGAAUCUCAUGAGGAAUUUAAAAAUGACUUCAUUCUCAUGCAUGUAGUGAGGAUGAAAAAGGUUAAUCAAAAGUAAGUCUAGGAUCAUGGGACUCUGAGAUAGAAAUUAGUCCCAGGUGUAGAACAUGACUGAGCAGAGUAUAGAGACAGUAAUGGAGCUUAUCACUACUGCGGGGGGAGGGAAAAUGCUGUAGGAUUUAACAUCUGAGUCUUGCAAUUGUUAGAGAUGCUCCAUGUGCUCACAGCUGUUGCCCCUGCUGCUGAAAGAAACUGGAAAGGAAGAAUAAUAGAACAUGUGCAACAGCAGGCGUUGGUACACAGUAAAUACUCAGUUGUAGCCAAUUAUUUGUAUCAUUACAUAUUUGUUAAUGAGUUCAGGUUGUAUAUGAAGCUUAAAUUAGCAUAUAGGAAAAUGUAAAGUUAUAGGAGUAACUAUAUCAAAGUGAACAGGGCCAUUAGAUAAAACAAGGAGACCCCAGCCUUUGGGUAGAGAGAAACCUCCUGCUUUCUAUCUGAGCUCGAUCACAUGAUAAAUCAAAGAAGCCAAACAGAAGACUAGAUACAGCCACUGAGUUGGGUUUUCCUUCAUGGAUAAAUGAAAAGGACAAAGAAGCAUUAGUCAGUCUAAACAUGUUGCACUGAGAACAAUUUUCUUUGGCAGGAUGUUAUAGGUUAUGUGCUAUGUCUCCUGUUCUGAAACUACACAGGUAUUAAUGGCUUCUUAAAAAAAUCUGUGGUUUUCUGUUUUUUUUUAUUAGGGGUUAAUUUGUCUUUAAGAACCAUGAAUUUGUUUAUUGCCCCACGA